rnacentral:rRNA from 1 species
UACGUAGGGGGCAAGCGUUGUCCGGAUUUAUUGGGCGUAAAGAGCGUGUAGGCGGCUAGGUAGGUCCGUUGUGAAAACUCGAGGCUCAACCUCGAGACGUCGAUGGAAACCAUCUAGCUAGAGUCCGGAAGAGGAGAGUGGAAUUCCUGGUGUAGCGGUGAAAUGCGCAGAUAUCAGGAAGAACACCCGUGACGAAGGCGGCUCUCUGGUACGUGACUGACGCUGAGACGCGAAAGCGUGGGGAGCGAACAGG